GACGAACGCUGGCGGCGUGCUUAACACAUGCAAGUCGAACGGAAAGGCCCUGCUUUUGUGGGGUGCUCGAGUGGCGAACGGGUGAGUAACACGUGAGUAACCUGCCCUUGACUUUGGGAUAACUUCAGGAAACUGGGGCUAAUACCGGAUAGGAGAUCCUGCUGCAUGGUGGGGGUUGGAAAGUUUCGGCGGUUGGGGCUGGACUCGCGGCUUAUCAGCUUGUUGGUGGGGUAGUGGCUUACCAAGGCUUUGACGGGUAGCCGGCCUGAGAGGGUGACCGGCCACAAUAGGACUGAGAUACGGCACAGACUCCUACGGGAGGCAACAGGGGGGAAUAUUGCACAAUGGGCGGAAGCCUGAUGCAGCAACGCCGCGUGCGGGAUGACGGCCUUCGGGUUGUAAACCGCUUUCGCCUGUGACGAAGCGUGAGUGACGGUAAUGGGUAAAGAAGCACCGGCUAACUACGUG
rnacentral:rRNA from 1 species